rnacentral:rRNA from 1 species
UACGUAGGGGGCAAGCGUUGUCCGGAAUCAUUGGGCGUAAAGAGCGCGUAGGCGGCCCUGUAAGUCCGCUGUGAAAGUCAAGGGCUCAACCCUUGAAUGCCGGUGGAUACUGCAGGGCUAGAGUCCGGAAGAGGCGAGUGGAAUUCCUGGUGUAGCGGUGAAAUGCGCAGAUAUCAGGAGGAACACCAAUGGCGAAGGCAGCUCGCUGGGACGGUAUUGACGCUGAGACGCGAAAGCGUGGGGAGCAAACAGG